GACGAACGCUGGCGGCGUGCCUAAUACAUGCAAGUAGAACGCUGAAGAGAGGAGCUUGCUCUUCUUGGAUGAGUUGCGAACGGGUGAGUAACGCGUAGGUAACCUGCCUUGUAGCGGGGGAUAACUAUUGGAAACGAUAGCUAAUACCGCAUAACAAUGGAUGACACAUGUCAUUUAUUUGAAAGGGGCAAUUGCUCCACUACAAGAUGGACCUGCGUUGUAUUAGCUAGUAGGUGAGGUAAUGGAUCACCUAGGCGACGAUACAUAGCCGACCUGAGAGGAUGAUCGGCCACACUGGGACUGAGACACGCCCCAGACUCAUACGGGAGGCAGCAGGAGGGAAUCUUCGGCAAUGGGGGCAACCCUGACCGAGCAACGCCGCGUGAGUGAAGAAGGGUUUCGGAUCGGAAAGCACUGUUGUAAGUCAAGAACGGGUGUGAGAGUGGAAAGUUCACACUGUGACGGUAGCUUACCAGAAAGGGACGGCUAACUACGUG
rnacentral:rRNA from 1 species